rnacentral:lncRNA from 1 species
AGCCCUAGCUUACAUGUUUACUAUGGCAAAUAUUAAAUCUUUAACCAAAAGGGCGAAUUUUACAAGUCAGAUUCUCAUCGAAUUUUUAAAAAGAUUCUUCAGCAUGUUUUUAGUAGUCUUUAUAUAAGGAACUAGGUUUAGAAUAAUGAUAGAAACAGCAAGAGGUAUGUAAAAACUUAAAUUCUCUGGUUUCAAGUGAGCUAUAGGUUCUGAUUUAAUGUUUUUCUUAUGGUUCUAUUGUUAAUAAGAUUAGACAAGGUUUGAACUAGUUUUCACCUCAUAAACUAAUUAUUGGAGAAGUAAAAUUUAAGAAGUAAAAUUAAAGUGUAUUGAGAUAUUUUGCAAAAUAUUUUUGCAAAAACAUCUAAGAACCUGCAAGUGAUAUAGAACCAGAGAAGCAAAUCUACUGAAGAGGAACUGCCUUCUGACUGCUCUGAGAAUAAGAUCUAUUCCAGAAUGUCCAAGAGAAGAUGUUUCUAGAAGACAAGACAACUACACGGGACAUCUGGAAUCCAACAUGGAAUGUGUUGCUUAAAUGGACAUUGGGAGUGGAUUACUAGAAUAUAGGGGGACUUGAUAUUACUGCUGAUGAUCAUUAUUGUAUUACUUUGAGUUUUCUUUUUAAAUUUCACAAUAUCUAUGUUUGCUGAGUUUUCUUGGUUACCUUAGUGACAUGUAAAUCUCCCCUCUAAUAGUAGUCUAUAGUUCUAGAUAUUUUUACUAUGUUUGUGAUAUGAUUAAUUAAUCUUGUUAUUCUUACAUUAACUAGUCAGUAGAAAUUGUAACAGGCCUGCAUGAGAUUCAGUGUUUUAUAGAAGAAAUACAACUACCCAUUCUAGGAGAGUUCAGAAAGCAUACUUGUUACACUAACCUUCUCCGCUUUGGCGAUGUACAAAACUUUAUCAGCUGCCAGUGAGGGUGACAGAGAGGCCAUUAGAAAUGUCCAAAGGAAGUCGGAGCACAGAGUUUCUCUCAUUUUGGAUCAAAGCUUCUUACCUUUUUCAGUGAGUGCAUGAUUGGAUGUCCAUACAAGGACCCUGAAAAGCUGUUCUUAACUUUAUACCCAGCCCUGUGAUUUGUGCUGUGGGAGAUACAGCAG